rnacentral:rRNA from 1 species
UUUAAAUUUAGAGUUUGAUCCUGGCUCAGGACGAACGCUGGCGGCGUGCUUAACACAUGCAAGUCGAGCGAUGAAACUUCCUUCGGAAAGUGGAUUAGCGGCGGACGGGUGAGUAACACGUGGGUAACCUGCCUCAAAGUGGGGGAUAGCCUUCCGAAAGGAAGAUUAAUACCGCAUAACAUAAGAGAAUCGCAUGAUUUUUUUAUCAAAGAUUUAUUGCUUUGAGAUGGACCCGCGGCGCAUUAGCUAGUUGGUAAGGUAACGGCUUACCAAGGCAACGAUGCGUAGCCGACCUGAGAGGGUGAUCGGCCACAUUGGAACUGAGACAC